rnacentral:rRNA from 1 species
UACGUAGGUGGCAAGCGUUGUCCGGAUUUACUGGGCGUAAAGGGCGUGCAGGCGGUUUGUUAAGUGCAGGGUGAAAGCUCCCGGCUCAACUGGGAGAGGUCCUUGCAUACUGGCAAACUCGAGGGAGGCAGAGGAAAGUGGAAUUCCCGGUGUAGUGGUGAUAUGCGUAGAUAUCGGGAGGAACACCUGUGGCGAAGGCGGCUUUCUGGGCCUUACCUGAACGCGUGAGAC